rnacentral:rRNA from 1 species
CCUACGGGAUGCAGCAGUGGGGAAUAUUGCACAAUGGGGGAAACCCUGAUGCAGCGACGCCGCGUGAGUGAAGAAGUAAUUAGUUAUGUAAAGCCCUUUCUGUAGGGGAGAAAAUGACGGUACCUGAGUAGGAAGCUCCGGCUCACUACGUGCCAGCAGCCGCGGUAAUACGGAGGGGGCAAGCGUUAUCCGGAUUUACUGGGUGUAAAGGGAGCGUAGACGGCAGUGCAAGUCUGGAGUGAAAGGCGGGGGCUCAACCACCGGACUGCUCUGGAAACUGUACGGCUGGAGUGCAGGAGAGGUAAGUGGAAUUCCUGGUGUAGCGGUGAAAUGCGUAGAUAUUAGGCGGAACACCAGUGGCGAAGGCGGCUUACUGGACUGUAACUGACGUUGAGGCUCGAAAGCGUGGGGAGCAAACAGGAUUAGAUACCCGAGUAGUC